CAUUUGGCUCUUCCUGUUUCUAGGGGUUAUCUGCCUUCCUGAGGGCAGAGCAAACAGCCCUGCUAUCCCUGCUGCAUAGUACAGCCUGCCAGUCCCAUCAUUUCCCAGAAGGCAGCAGACAGAAUGAAGAGGCAAAAGGGGAAGUGCCUACUUAACACAGCUCAGGGAUGACAACCAGGAUGGUGUCGCUGAUGAUGAUGAUGAGAAGCUCUUCUUCCUGGAUAUGCGGUGCUUUGAUGUGCUGGCUCUGACUAGCUCUGACCCUGUGUUCCCAAGACCCAGGGAGCCUUUGAGGACACCUCGGGGGGAGCAGGUCAUAAGCCAAUGACUCAUUCGUGUUGGGUUGUGGGGUGAGUGGUAACCUCCAAAAUGUGCUCCUGCUCCCUCCCUGCAUGGGAAGUGAAGCCAACCGAGGCAGAGGUGGCCUGUCUGGGCCAACCUUUCCCUCAAGGUGGCAGAAAUGCCCCCAUCAGAAAUGCUCUUUUAGAGCAAACAUUGUCCCCUCCAGGAGCAUCUUAAAAUGUAAAUAUGCUGGGACAAUGUGUGCCUUCUGUGUUCCGGGCCCUGAAAACACUGCAAGAGGAGAAAAGCUACAGCCUCUACCCCCUUAUUUUCCUGAAGGUAGACUGGAGAGUGCAGAGGCUUCCCCCACAUUUCAGGCUCCCCUGCGGAAUGAGAAGCAGCCUCUCGUCCCCUUGUCAGUGCUGAGCCCAUAGGGGUGGUAGCCAACACGAGAGGCAGCGAAGCCUGUUCAAACUUGUAUUUAUUUUCUAAGAGGUCGGGAUGAGGGCAUGGGGAUGGGGAUGCAUAACUUGGGUUUCGGGAGGAGCCACAGACCUUGGGGAGAAGGAUGGAGCCUCCUGCCCUCAGUCGUGCUGCUAGUAGGGGUGAUUCAGGGUGUGCUCCAUGAUGGUCCGAAGCGCCAUCCACGUCUCCUGGGCCGUGGGGAUGAUCUGUGUGGCCGGCAGCAGGAAGCCAUACUGCCCAGUGUCCCGGAGCUCAAAGCUGAAGGCGUACUUGAUGCCACUGUCAUAGGCCCAGUCGACGGUGAUCCCACUGGCCACAUCUAGAAACAAAAGUUCCAAAAUGUGCCCCACAAAAGGAAGAAGGGGAUGUGGCUGCAAGGUACAGAGGCAUCCUGGGUGGAAAGUGAGCCCUGGGAGCCAAACCCCCACCCACCCCAGGCCACACCAGGCUUCCUGCCCAGGCCUCAAACAGGAUCACAUCUGUGCACCCAGCCCAUUCUCUACUCCUGCAAAAAGAAAGCUCCUGCAGGCUACUAGGCUUAGGAACCUUGCAGUAAGCCAGGCACUGGGAGCUGUGCACAAAAGCUGCCAAGAAACAGCUCCCUGGGUACCACUGUUCACCCUUCUAUCCAGUGUGGGAGGCAGCUUUGGGCCAGCACAGCUAGAUCCUUGGCACUGCCCUGCAGCCAGCCCCAGGUAGAUGUGGUGUCUGAAGCAGGGCCAGGGGAGGCUCACUCACAGAGGGUGGUGCUGAUGCUGCCAAAAAUGUACUCGAUCCCAUGGACCUUAUACAAGGCCUCCACCGCAUCCUUGGCAAGAUCGUACUGCAAGAUGACAUUGGCGGGGUGAAAGGCAGGGGCUCCCCGGGGCUCCCACACACUCCCCCACCCUCACCAGCUGGUGAGAAGCAUGGAUUUAGCAGUCCUGGAAGUUGAAGGUGGAGAUGGCCCUUGUGAGAAGGGAGCACAGCAUUUCCAGCUUUGAACUUGAUCACACGUGAGAACAGCAAGCUCCCCCUACCCCACCCCCGCACCAUGGGGUCAAUCAGCCCAGACCCCUGCAUUCAGAGUAACAACCUGAGCCCUCUGGGAGUAUGACAGAUAUGGAUUUUCCUGUGAAGCGGUCUCUUCUCCCCAGGCCCUAAGCAGCCAGUCUCACCAACUCCCUCUGAUUUGAAACGGGCUCCAGCAAUCGGCCGUAAGGGUACAUAAGCAUCUGAGAGUAGCUGUGGAUGGAGAUCAGAGCCUUGAAGUUGCCAUGGGCUGUGAUGAAGUUCACUAUGGCAGCCACCUCCGGCUCCGACUGAGGGGAGGGCCCGUGAUAAGUUUCUGAGCAGGGGUUGCUGUUAGAACCAUUUCCUGGAAGUAAAAUAAAGCCACCC
rnacentral:lncRNA from 1 species